rnacentral:rRNA from 1 species
GGAAGUGAACCAUCUCAGUACCCGCAGGAAGAGAAAACAACAGUGAUUCCGCUAGUAGCGGCGAGCGAACGCGGAUAUAGCCCAAACCGAUGUGCUUGCACAUCGGGGUUGUAGGGCCUGUCGGGCCGCAAGGCCGACGAGUUACCAACCAGCAGCAUAGUCGAACGGCCUGGAACGGCCGGCCAUAGACGGUGACAGCCCGGUAGGCGAAAUGGUGCUGGCUCGUUGGACAGGUACCUGAGUACCGCGGGACACGAGGAAUUCCGUGGGAACCUGCGAGGACCAUCUCGCAAGGCUAAAUACUCGCUGGCGACCGAUAGUGAACCAGUACCGUGAGGGAAAGGUGAAAAGCACCCCUGUGAGGGGAGUGAAACAGUACCUGAAACCGUAUGCCUACAAGCAGUGGGAGGGCUAUGGUCGUGGUUCGCCACGGUCACGCCUGACCGCGUGCCUUUUGCAUAAUGAGCCGGCUAGUUACUCUCAGUGGCGAGGUUAAGCGAAAGCGAGCCGAGGCGAAAGCGAGUCCGAAAUGGGCGUGCAGUCGCUGGGAGUAGACGCGAAGCGAGGUGAUCUACCCUUGGCCAGGGUGAAGUACAGGUAACACUGUAUGGAGGCCCGAACCAGUGUUGGUUGAAAACAACUUGGAUGAGCUGAGGGUAGGGGUGAAAGGCUAAUCAAACCUCGUGAUUGCCCGUUCUCCUCGAAAUGCCUUUAGGGGCAGCCUCGGGUGGUCGGCGCUGGUGGUAGAGCACUGGAUGGACUAGGGGCCUUACCAGGUUACUGAAUCCAACCAAACUCCGAAUGCCAGCGACACGUAGCCCGGGAGUGAGACGGNGGGGGCUAAGCUUCAUCGUCGAAAGGGAAACAGCCCAGACUACCGGCUAAGGUCCCCAAAUCUGUGCUAAGUGGGAAAGGAUCUGGAGACGCUCGGACAACCAGGAGGUUGGCUUAGAAGCAGCCAUCCUUUAAAGAAAGCGUAAUAGCUCACUGGUCAAGCGGCUCUGGGCCGACAAUUCAACGGGGCUCAAGCACAGUACCGAAGCCGUANACUGGCCGCGCCUGCGGGCGCGACCAUUGGUAGAGGAGCGUUCUCUGCGCAGCGAAGUCAGACCGCGAGGACUGGUGGAGUGCAGAGAAGUGACCCUGCCGGCAUAAGUAGCGAGAAGAGGGGUGAGAAUCCCCUCCGCCGAAAGCCUAAGGUUUCCUGAGCAAGGUUCGUCCGCUCAGGGUCAGUCGGGACCUAACGCGAGGCCGAAAGGCGUAGCGGAUGGACAUCCGGCCAACAUUCCGGAACUACCUGGAACUCGUUAUCACGAUGGGGGGACGCAGGAGGCUAGGCGGGCCUACGAUUGGACGUGUAGGUUGAGGCAUGUAGGGAGAUCCCUUUGGCAAAUCCGGGGGGUCGUCAAUCCUGAGGUGCCGAAGCGAGGCCGCAGGGCCACAAAGCCGUCGAUGCCACGCUGCCAAGAAAAGCCUCUAAGGAGAGUUCCGGGUACCCGUACCGCAAACCGACACAGGUAGGCGAGGAGAGCAUCCUAAGGCGCAAGUGAGAACACCCGUUUAGGAACUCGGCAAAAUAGCCCCGUAACUUCGGAAGAAGGGGUGCUCCGGUAACGUGAGGCGGCUUGCCCGCCGAGCGGGAGGGAGUUGCAGUGAAUUGGCCCAGGCGACUGUUUACUAAAAACACAGGGCUCUGCAAAGUCGAAAACGACGUAUAGGGUCUGACGCCUGCCCGGUGCCGGAAGGUUAAAGGGAGAGGUCAGCCGCAAGGUGAAGCUUCGAACUGAAGCCCCGGUAAACGGCGGCCGUAACUAUAACGGUCCUAAGGUAGCGAAAUUCCUUGUC